AGUCUGAUCAAUUAUUGGUACCAGCAUGCACCAGGACAAGCACGAGUCAGAAAAAUUAGAUAUUGGAAAGAAAAACAAGCAAGUGAAGAAGGUAAAGCGAAUCAAAGCAAAGCUAAGAAGAGAGAGAGAGAGAGAGAGAAAGAGAGAGAGAGAGUUGUCUGUAUAAAAAGAUGAGAAGGAAUGGUAACAGGUUGAGUUGCAUAUGUCUAAUCAAAACUCUCAGAAUUAA